rnacentral:rRNA from 1 species
ACAUAGGGACCAAGCGUUGUCCGGAUUUAUUGGGCGUAAAGGGCUCGUAGGCGGCGAGAUAAGUCAGAAUUAAAAGGCAGAAGCUUAACUUCUGUUCGGUUCUGGGACUGUCUUGCUUGAGAUUGGAAGAGGAAGAUGGAAUUAACAGUGUAGCGGUGAAAUGCGUAGAUAUUGUUAAGAACACCCGUGGCGAAGGCGGUCUUCUGGUCCAAAUCUGACGCUGAGGAGCGAAAGCGUGGGGAGCAAACAG